GAGAGCCGUGUGAUAGGUGACUAUCUAGCACGGUUCGGAGAGCACUUUUAGUCUGCGCUAAUGAAUGGAAGCCCCCCCCCCGUCAAGCAAGAAGGAAGCGGCUCUUCCCACGGCGGAGUCACCAUUGACUCUAU
rnacentral:ncRNA from 1 species